rnacentral:rRNA from 1 species
UACGUAGGGCGCAAGCGUUAUCCGGAAUUAUUGGGCGUAAAGAGCUCGUAGGCGGUUUGUCGCGUCUGCCGUGAAAGUCCGGGGCUCAACUCCGGAUCUGCGGUGGGUACGGGCAGACUAGAGUGAUGUAGGGGAGACUGGAAUUCCUGGUGUAGCGGUGAAAAUGCGCAGAUAUCAGGAGGAACACCGAUGGCGAAGGCAGGUCUCUGGGCAUUAACUGACGCUGAGGAGCGAAAAGCAUGGGGAGCGAACAGG